CACUUCUGACAUGAAUUUAACAAUUUAAGAAAAAUAUGAAAAUUAGCUUUAUUUUUAAGACAGAUAGUUGAAAGACAGCUAGUAAAAUGAAGAAACUUCCGGUAAAACUUCCAUUCCUUAAAACAUCCACUAGACUUGCUGACAUAAGCCAUACAAAAUUUUCUAGAAGAAAUUAUUCAAAGCAAGAGACUUUGAAAGAGAGAACCCGC
rnacentral:lncRNA from 1 species